CCCUUAGAUGUUCUGGGCCGCACGCGCGCUACACUGACUGCUCCAACAAGUUACCUGGGCUGACAAGCAUCCGGGAAAUCUUGCAAAGGCAGUCGUGAUGGGGAUAGAUUCUUGUAAUUUUUGAUCUUCAACGAGGAAUUCCUAGUAAACGCAAGUCAUCAGCUUGCAUUGAUUACGUCCCUGCCCUUUGUACACACCACCCGUCGCAUCUACCGAUUGAAUGGAGAGGCAAAAUCUUCGGACCGUGACGCUUGGGAGUCAAAUCUCGGGCUGUCGUGGGAAGUGGAUUAAACCUUUCUAUUUAGAGGAAGGUAAAGUCGUAACA
rnacentral:rRNA from 1 species